AUUUGUAGAGGCCAUAGGCAGCAGCAGCUCCUUGAGUUCCAGCAGGAUCUGGAGAAUGUCUUUGAAGCUUGGGAACACAGAAUGGUCGCUGUGCGGUCUGCCUCCAGCCGACACGUGCAAACGCAAAGAGCAAGAACCAAACAAAGACAGGAACAAUUCCCAGAAGAAGUCCCGCCUGGUGUUCACUGACCUCCAACGCCGAACACUCUUCGCCAUCUUCAAGGAGAACAAACGCCCGUCGAAGGAGAUGCAGAUCACCAUUUCCCAGCAGCUGGGCCUGGAGCUCACAACCGUCAGCAACUUCUUCAUGAACGCCCGGCGCCGCAGCCUGGAGAAGUGGCAAGACGAUCUGAGCACAGGGGGCUCCUCGUCCACCUCCAGCACGUGUACCAAAGCAUGAUGGAAGGACUCUCACUUGGGCACAAGUCACCUCCAAA
rnacentral:sRNA from 1 species